rnacentral:tmRNA from 1 species
GGGGCCGACCGGUUUUGACAGCGAGACCAAUGGCGAUGUAAGCAUGCCGAGCGCUGGGAUAUAGCUCGUAAAUCUCAUAUUUCACAUUUUUAAAUGGCGAAUCUAAUUACGCUCUUGCCGCUUAAUCUGAAUUAUAGUAGGAUUUAGCCUCGUCUCCGCUAGGCGGAGAAGCGAGAUGUCCCUGAAUAGCCCUUGUUGAUGGCGAUUCGUUCCGGGGCACCAUAAAAGUCAACAUAAGGAGGGUGUAGCUUCGGCACCGUCUCUAAAAUCUAAAGAAGCUAAGUGUACAUUGGGCGGUUUCUGGUCAGGUGUACAUCGAAAACUAAUCAGAUCCUAAGCAUGUAGAAAGCAUGGUUAUUGCUUGUUUGGACGAGGGUUCGACUCCCUCCGGCUCCACUA